GGCGGCAUAGCUCAGUUGGCUAGAGCAUUCGGUUCAUACCCGGAGGGUCGUGGGUUCAAAUCCAACUGCCGCUACCA
rnacentral:tRNA from 1 species